rnacentral:rRNA from 1 species
AGCAUGUGGUUAAUUCGACGCAACGCGAAGAACCUUACCAGGGCUUGACAUCCCCUGACCGCGUAUGAAAGUACGUUUUCACCCUCGGGUGGCAGGGAGACAGGUGGUGCAUGGGUUGUCGUCAGCUCGUGUCGUGAGAUGUUGGGUUAAGUCCCGCAACGAGCGCAACCCCUACGUUUAGUUGCUAACGCGUGAAGGCGAGCACUCUAGACGAACUGCCGUUGACAAACGGAGGAAGGUGGGGAUGACGUCAAAUCAUCAUGCCCCUUAUGUUCUGGGCUACACACGUGCUACAAUGGCCGGUACAGACGGACGCAAAGCCGCGAGGCGGAGCAAAUCCGAAAAAGCUGGUCUCAGUUCGGAUUGCAGGCUGCAAUUCGCCUGCAUGAAGUCGGAAUCGCUAGUAAUCGCAGGUCAGCAUACUGCGGUGAAUACGUUCCCGGGCCUU